UUUCCGUAGGUGAACCUGCGGAAGGAUCAUUCAUAAUAAAGUGUUUUAUGGCACUUUUUAAAAAUCCAUAUCCACCUUGUGUGCAAUGUUAGAUCUCGUCAAUCUUGGCGAGAUUUUUAUACAUCAACUCAUUCUUUAACGAAUUUGUCUGAAAAAUAUUAUGAAUACUUAAUUCAAAAUACAACUUUCAACAACGGAUCUCUUGGCUCUC
rnacentral:misc_RNA from 1 species